CUUUGGAAUAUGAAGCCAAAGAAAGAACUUACUGUACUACAGAACUGAGAAUGGCAGUUCAUUUCCUGCAGGAAAACUUCCAUAUAGACACCAGUGAUAACAUUAGGUUUAGUCUAAAGCAAAUGGUUUGUGAUGGACGCUACAACUAUUUUGUUUUGCAAUAACUUACAAAUUGAUUAUGUUUUGGUACAGCAAACCUCAUAUAGAAACUGAGUAUCUAAUAGUAUAAAAUUGUCACCAAAAAGCAUUGUCAAUAUGUAAUUCAAGACAAAAAUAAGUGCAGAGAAACAGGUGAAAAGAAAAAAACAUUAAAAUAUAUCAAAGAAAGGAGUAAAACAGGAGGAUCCAUUAAAGAGUUGUUGUUAUUCUUGAUCCGUCCACUCCAGAUCUUUUUCCACACCCAGGCUUCUGCCUAUUAGAUAAAUGUUGUAUACCAUAAAUACCAUAUGAAGAAAUAGAAGUGUCAUAGUUUACAAACGUACAAUAAUGUUGUUACCUCCCUGUCAAGUUCUUCAAUUUACCAAUUUAUGA
rnacentral:lncRNA from 1 species